rfam:Gammaproteobacteria bacterium MedPE Gammaproteobacteria-MedPE-C8, whole genome shotgun sequence.
ACAAUCUUGUCGGAGUGCCACUGGCUGAGACCGCAAAUGCGGGAUCCGUAGAACCUGAUCAGGCUAAUACCUGCGAAGGGAAACAAGAGCAAAAAGUUG